CUUACACCUGGAGAGUUUGCCACCUCUGAAUGGAAAGUUGUUGAAGUCAGAUGUCACUUCCAGAUUUAACCAAUUCAUUUUAAUUGAUCAUCCCUCAAAUCCCUACUAAGAAAGUAGCAAAUAAUAAUGGAGCGUUGCAGUAGAGGUUCCUGGCCGAGCUCAGCAGGGAGGCAAACAUGAAGGCGCGUUCAUGAACGUGCGCAGUGCACCCGCACAUGCAUGUCUUUUCUAAAGCGUAGGCCUACACAACUUUUUAAAAAAAACUCGUCUGCGCGUCGUGUGGAGGCGCAUUAGAGAGGAUCAUAACUUAAAACGACACACUUAACAUUGUGUCAGCAGAGUGCAAUGCUUCUAAACUUUUAAUCAAACGUGCAGACAAAGUUCAACUCGUGCUGCUUAAAUGUAAUGCAAAUGAGCCUUCUAGUCAGUUGCCGCACAAGUCAAGGCGGCAACUGAAGGCUCAUUUGCUUAGAACUUUAAAAAAAUAAAUAGAUUUAUGAUUGGUUGCAAUUGGUUGCCUAACAUGGUAAUUAAUUAAUUUUGAAUUGGAAUUGGAAUUUGAAUUGAAUGAGGUUGAUGAUUUGCCUCGCAACAGUGAAACUGAAUUGUGAUUGGUUAUUUUUUAUUCUCCAAGACUGCAAAAGUGAGUUUUGGCCUCUUUGCCUCCCUUCAGUGGCUAUACCUGGACCAGAGUAACGUCGGCCAGCCUCCUUUCUUGCAAAGGCCCUUGGCUAUUUAUUUAUUUUCAACAUUUUCAUGCAAUUAUUCAGUAAUAAACACACAUUGCACAUGGAUAAUUUUGAAAAAUAAAUAUUUUUUAAUAAUAAUUUCAUAAUCACGUAAAUCUUUUUUUUGGAAAAUCACGAAGAGGCAAUGGAGCGGUGUCGAAAUGAUGGAACUACUUUCCUCAGCGUAUCAAAAGAUAUGCGCUCUGGUCUCCAUCCGUCACUACAGGUGCGGCAGCGGAAGUGUUUCUUCACUUCACCAGCGGGCCAGUGAGACGGGCCACGCGGAGCAGAGGUGAACAUCACGAGGCGGCGGAGUCUCCUCAUAUGUUUGAUUGAAUGUCUCUGGUGUUCUUGUCUUGCUUUCAAUAAUCUUUGAUCUGACCAUUAGGCCUGCGCUUGUUUAAAUCCCUGAAAUACUAUUUAUUUACUGGUUGGGUUCACUCUGCAUUACAAUUCAAGUUUAUUUGUUGAAGAUUAUGUAGGACCCGAGUUAGUUUGAACUUAUUUAGCAGGUCAAGUAUUAUAUAACGGUAUUAUAUAUUUGGGUCGUAUUGAAGACUUAAACCAACAAUCCCAGAGACCGACGUCCUUUCCGCCUCUCUGAUCUCCGUGUUCAGGAUUUAAUUUCAUAAUUAGAAACUAUAGGUUCAGGAUACGAUUUUAAUAUAAUUACAAACUAAAGGUUCGGUUUUCAUGGUAGUUAACUCAUUACGCACGGCUCCUCCGUGAAUAACGCGCCACUGGUGCAUGGGAGAUAUCACGUUGGUCAGAUAAACGAAGUCGUAAUCACAACAGUCGAUAUCAAGACGUGCACCCAACCCCCUCAACUCACUCACCCGGAGAAAAUUCAAACUGUGGGUCCGGGCCAUACCCUUCUUGGGAAUUUCAUUUUUCUACCGGAGGAGGCUACAUGUUCCACACAAAGUAACUAGAGGACUCACCGAUCGAGGCGUCGGCACAGCGGCCUUGUCCCGCUAGGGCGCACAACACGAGGAGACCUCCGAGCAGCUGCAUUUGGACCGGGUUCAGUGGGCUUCCUUUGGGCUGGUGGACCUGAUGGUUUAAUAACGCCUGAAGUUAAUCACUGACCUGCUUUUUCUGCAGGAAGUGAAAUGCAUCCAUUAUCGAUCCAACAUUACCAAUUAACAUUCCACCUGUUCUCAAAUCAAUGUUCUCCAUGUGAUGAAAAACUAAAAGAACUGGCUUACAUUUUUAGGUUUAAUAAAAUGGAUAGAAAUAUAGUGCGGUGUGUUACCAUGCGAGGAGGGACGGACGAGAAUACGCGUGUGGGUGUGAGAGAUGCUCUGGUCUGAGUCCACCUGCGCUUUUAUAGCUGGAGGUGGGGCGCGACCCCGCCUCUUUGACCUCCCGUCCCUUGCAACAGACCGGCAUGCAGAUAAGCGCAGACGCGUAGACUUUAUUUAUGGAAUAUAUAUUGAGUACAUUUUUUUUUUUUUUUCAGAGACCUAUAUCAAUAGGGACGGCACGUGACGUUACAUCGCAAUAAAUUAUAUAUUGUUGAUGUAUUUGCAUUGUAUAUUGUGUAUGUAUUGUUGUGUUUGCUUUGCAUUUGUUUUACUCGAUGUUAUGCAAAUGAGGGUCAACCCUCAACUGAUUUUUCCGAGAAUAAAUAAAGUAAAAAAAUUAAAUAAAAAAAUAA